GUUAUAGAUCAAUGAGAAAUGAAGAUAAACCCACAUUUAUUCCGUGCAUACGUGAUGCAACAUUUCCUCUUUCCCUAUAUAUACCCUGCAUCCCCCUUCAGUUCUUCACACAAGGGCAAUUCAAGUUCGUCAUUUGUUCCAUGAGAAAGUGAACUUGUGUUGAAUGUUUGAUAAAAAAAAGGGUGUUGAUUGUUAGAGAAACAAUUGAAUGUUUUUUUCUCUCCCCUUAACCCUCAUCCAACCCAUUCCAGAAGUAUUAUGCAGCAAUGAUACACAUCAGAUUUCAGUAAAUGAAUGCAGAUUAGGGUAAGGGAGGUGACAGAAGAGAGUGAGCACACAUGGUACUUUCUUGGAUGAUAAGGUUUCAUGCUUGAAGCUAUGUGUGCUUACUCUCUAUCUGUCACCCCAUCUCCAUCUCUUUCUUUCAAUCCUUUAUUUUCUUCACUUUCUGUUAAUAUAUAUGUAUCUGAUUUUUGUUUUCACUUUCCCUUCAUAUGCUAUAAGUUACCCUAUCCCUUAGGCUUGUGUUGUCAUAUCAUUCAGUAGUAUGCUUUAUGGGCAUCUCAUUCCAUUUCUCAGGUAUGUAUUGCUGCUUUCCACAUAUGGAUUAUUCUUUUAUUAGCAUGCAGAUUGAAGUGCAUCAGUUUCCUCAAGAAAAGUAAUUCUAUUUCUGCUUUGUCUGAAGUAUAUGUGUUCGCUUAUAGAGAGCCUAUUUUCACAGGUACAAGUAUCUGAAGCUCUAAUUAGUUGAUGAAUUUUGAUCUUGUGUUCUCUCAGUUAGCCUACGUUUAAGAGGUUUAUGUUGACUAAUCACUGAAAACAGCUUUAUGUUUGCAUCUGAUGACAGUUUAGACAUAAGAUUCUACUUAAAACCCAUCCUAAUUUUCGUUUAUUUUACUCCUGAGUUUACCAGAUUAACUGCUAGGGUUUUGGGGAUGCUCGGUUAAGAAGAAAAAUUGAUCAGCAAAGGUUCUAAAGGUCUUGUUGAUGAAAUGGAAUGCAGACGGUUGAAAUCCUCCAGAAAAAAAAA